GCCCUGCACUGGCUUUCUCAAUGUGGUAUCUCCAUGCAGGGAAACCUUCUAAUCCCCAGUAAAAUGAAAGAGAGCAUAAAUAUUCAGUAACUUGAGGAUUUAAGUAAAUGCUCAGUGUCCUACCUAUAAACAUGUCUGCAGAGGAUCUUGGUUUGUUCCUUGGAGAUGAACCAAAUGCUUUAGCUAUGGUAACAACCCACUCCAGUGUUCUUGCCUGGAGAAUCCCAGGGACAGGGGAGCCUGGUGGCUGCCGUCUAUGGGGUCACACAGAGUCAGACAUGACUGAAGUGACUUAGCAGCAGCAGCAACAAGGGAUAACUGAGAAGGAUUAUUUCAGCAGACUGGGCAUUAUCGUUCCACUAUCUCUUAUCCCCUGCUGAUGUAUGAGAAAGACAAGCCUUUUGAGGGAGUGAAGUGCUCAUUUCUUCUCUUUAUCUCUUCCACUGAAGGACUUCCCUGGUGGCACAGUGGAUAAGAAUCUGCCUGCCAGUGCAGGGGACACGGGUUCGAUCCCUGGAAGAUUCCACAUGCCGCUGAACAACUAAGCCUGGGCGCCACAGCUACUGAGCCCUUGCUCUGGAGCCCUCAAGUGCAGCUACUGAAGCCUGCUUGCCUAGAGCCUGUGCUCAGAAACAAGAGAAGCCACUGCUGUGAGAAGCCCUCACACAAUAACUAGAGAGCAGCCCCUAUUCUCCGGAACUAGAGAAAGCCCUCGCAGCAACGGAGACCCAGUGCAGCCAAAACUAAGUAAAUAAAAUAUAGCAGGGUGUACAUGUCAAAAAAAUAAAUGAAACCUUAAAAAAAAUAUUCACAGUUUUUAAAGACUCCUCAGUCCCAUGGUCUAUGGAGUGGCAUAGAGUCGGACACGACUAAGACGACUGAACCCCCGCAUACAAACAGUCACAAAUCUGACCAUUCUGCUCUUUUGCUGGGUCAUCAUUUUUGAGCAUCUGACAAUCAGCACCUGGGUCCCAAAAGACCAGCUUUCAGUAGCCCGUUGGCAAGUCGAAGUUGGCUAUUUACUUAACAUACUCUUUAUCAUGGUGCAAACAUCUUCUUAAUCACAGUUUCUAAAGUACGACUGAGCGACUUCACUUUCACUUUUCACUUUCCUGCAUUGGAAAAGGAAAUGGCAACCCACUCCAGUGUUCUUGCCUGGAGAAUCCCAGGGACGGGGGAGCCUGGUGGGCUGCCGUCUCAGGGGUUGCACAGUCGGACACGACUGAAGCGACUUAGCAGCAGCAGCAGCUUUCCCACUAGCGCCACCUAGGAAGCCUGAGUUGAUGAAUCAUCAUCAAAAAAACCCCAGAUGUCCAUAAGUUUUUCUGUGAUCAGACUGAUAUAAGUUUCAGGGUUUAGAGGCCUUUGCCUUCAGUCUAUUACUGAUUUUGUUCUGUAAACUCAGGAAUAAAAUCACCAUGAUGAGGAC
ensembl:lncRNA